GAUCUGUGAGAAAAAAUUUAAAACUGGGAUGAUGUAGCCCAGAGGUCAUCAACUUAAGUGCUUCAGUGACAAGGCAGGUUCUGUCUAAGUGAAUUGUGACGAUUCUCCCAUCUCAGACUCCUGAGUAGCUCGGACCACAGGCACAUACCCCCAUGCCUGGCUAAUUUUUUUUAUUUUUUGUAGAGAGGGGUCUCCCUAUGUUGCCCAGGCUGGUCUUGACUUUGGCGUCAAUCAGUCCUCCUACCUCAGCUUCUCAAAUUCUGCAAUUACAUAUGUGAGCCACGAACCCAGCCCACUUUUUUUUUUGAUGUGAAUGUCUUUCCCAUGUCCUCACAUAGUAUGAGGUGAAAGGACAAGCAAACUUCAAAAGACAAGAAAACACUGUGUGAAGCCUCCCUUAAAAGAGCCUAAUUGCAUUCAGGAGGGAGAAGCCCUUGUGACAUAAUCACCCUUUAAAGGCCCUAGUUGAUUGAAUCAUGGGAGCAGGUCUUUUCUGUGCUGUUCUCCUGAUAGUGAAUAAGUCUCAUGAAAUCUGAUGCUUUUAAAAAUGAGUUUCCCUGCACAAGCUCUCUCUCCACCUGCCACCAUCCAGGGAAGAUGGGACUUGCUCCUCCUUGCCUUCUGCCAUGAUUGUGACGGCUCCCCAGCCAUGUGGAACUGUAAGUCCGUUAAACCUUUUUUGCUGUAUAAAUUACCCAGUCUUUGGUAUGUCUUUAUCAGCAGUGUGAAAAUGAACUAAUACAGUAAAUUGGUACGAGUAGAGUGGUGUGCUGCUGAAAAGAUACCCAAAAAUGUGGAAGCUAUUUUGGAACUGGGUAACAGGCAGAGGUUGAAACAGUUUGGAGGGCUCAGAAGACAGGAAAACAUGGGAAAGUUUGGAACUUCUUAGAGACUAGUUGAAUGGCUUUGUCCAAAAUGCUGAUAGAAUAUGGACAAUAAAGUCCAGGCUGAGGUAGUCUCAGAUGGAGAUGAGGAACUUGUUGGGAACUGGAGCAAAAGUGACUCGUUAUGUUUUAGCAAAAAGGCUGGUGGCAUUUUGCCCCUGCCCUAGAGAUUUGUGGAACUUUUAACUUGAAAGAAAUGAUUUAGGGUAUCUGGCAGAAGAAAUUUCUAAGCAGCAAAGCAUUCCAGAGGUGACUUGGGUGCUGUUAAAGGUAUUCAGUUUUAUAAGGGAAGCAGAGCAUAAAAGUCUGGAAAAUUUGCAGUCCGACAAUGUGAUAGAAAAGAAAAUUCCAUUUUCUGAGGAGAAAUUCAAGCUGGCUGCAGAAAUGUGCAUAAGUAACAAGGAGCUGAAUAUUAAUCCCCAAGACAAUGGGGAAAACAUCUCCAAGGCAUGUCAGAGGUCUUCACGGCAGCCCCUCCCAUCAUAAACCCAAAGGCCUAGGAGGAAAAAGUGGUUUUGUGGGCCAGGCCCAGGGUCCUUGUGCUGUGUGCAGCUUAGGGACUUGGUGCCCUGCAUCCCAGCUGCUCCAGCCAUGGCUGAAAGGGGCCAACAUAGAGCUCGGGCUGUGGCUUCAGAAGGUGCAAGCCCCAAGCCUUGGCAGCUUCCAUGUGGUGUUGAGCCUGCAAGUGCACAGAAGUCACAAAUUGGGGUUUGGGAACCUCCACCUAGAUUGCAGAUGAUGUAUGGAAAUGCCCGGAUGACCAGGCAGAAGUUUGCUGCAGGGGCAGGGCCUUCAUGGAGAACCUCUGCUAGGGCAGUGCAGAAGAAAAAUGUAGGGUCAGAGCCCACACACAGAGUACCCACUAGAGCACUGCCUAGUGGAGCUGUGAGAAGAAGGCCACCAUCCUCCAGACUCCAGAAUGGUAGGUCCACCAACAGCUUGCACUGUGUACCUGGAAAAGCCACAGGCACUCAUUGCCAGCCUGUGAAAGCAGCCAGGAGGGAGGCUAUCCCCUGCAAAGUCACAGGGGCGAAGCUGUCCAAGACCUUGGGAACCUACCUCUUGCCUCAGCGUGACCCGGAUGUGAGACAUGGAGUCAAAGGAGAUCAUUUUGGAGCUUUAAGAUUUGACUGCCCUGCUGGAUUUCAGACUGCAUGGGGCCUGUAGCCCCUUUGCUUUGGCCAAUUUCUCCCAUUUGGAACAGCUGUAUUUACCCCAUGCCUGUACCCCGAUUGUACCUAGGAAGUAACUAACUUGCUUUUGAUUUUACAGGCUUAUAGGCAGAAGAGACUUGCUUUGUCUCAGAUGAGACUUUGAACUCUGGACUUUUGAGUUAAUACUGAAAUGACUUAAGACUUUGGGGGACUAUUGGGAAGACAUGAUUGGUUUUGAAAUAUGAGGAAAAGAGAUUUGGGAGGGGCCAGGGGUGGAAUGAUCUGGUUUAGCUGUGUUCCCACCUAAAUCUCAUCUUGAAUUCCCAUGUGUUGUGGGAGGAACCCAGUGGGAGGUGAUUGAAUCAUAGGGACAGGUCUUUCCGGUGCUGUUCUUAUGAUAGUGAAUAAGUCUCAUGAGAUCCGAUGGUUUUAAACAUGGGAGUUUCCCUGCAAAAGCUCUCUCUUUGCCUGCUGCCAUCCACGAAAGCUGUGAUUUGCUCCUUCUCGCCUUCUACCGUGAUUGGGAGGCCUCCUCAGCCAUGUGGAACUGUCAGUUCAUUAAACCCUUUUUCCUGGCUGGGCGCGGUGGCUCACGCCUGUAACCCCAGCACUUUGGGAGGCUGAGGUGGGCGAA
rnacentral:lncRNA from 1 species